GGCAGCCGCGGUAAUUCCAGCUCCAAUAGCGUAUAUUAAAGUUGUUGCAGUUAAAAAGCUCGUAGUUGAAUUUCGGGGUUCUACCGUUGGUCGGGCUUUGUCUGUACUGGCGUGUAGAAUUUCUACCUUCUGGGGAACUAUCAUGUUAUUAAUUUAGCGUGGUAGGAAACCAGGACCUUUACCUUGAAAAAUUAGAGUGUUCAAAGCAGGCUUAUGUCUGAAUACAUUAGCAUGGAAUAAUAAAAUAGGACGGUGGUCCUGUUUUGUUGGUUUCUGAAUCACCGUAAUGAUUAAUAGGGAUAGUUGGGGGCAUUAGUAUUCAAUUGUCAGAGGUGAAAUUCUUGGAUUUAUUGAAGACUAACUACUGCGAAAACAUUUGCCAAGGAUGUUUUCAUUAAUCAAGAACGAAAGUUAGGGGAUCGAAGACGAUCAGAUACCGUCGUAGUCUUAACCAUAAACUAUGCCGACUAGGGAUCGGACGAUGUUAACUUUUCUUGACUCGUUCGGCGCCUUACGGGAA
rnacentral:rRNA from 1 species